UGUGAAAUGGGCUCCCAAAGUCCACACCUAUGCUAAGGAUAAGUACUGAACUACUACAGGAGGUCGCGUAGAUUUCUGAGGUUUCUUCACUGAAACCCAUGUUCCUGGGGUCUGGAUCAGUCAAUAGAAUAGUUCAAUAGAACACACGGAACAGACAGUCAUCCAGACAAAGGCUUGCAGUGAGUUCUGGCUUUUCACAUUUGGCUCUAGUAAUAACUGUUAUAAGGAAGUACUCAUAAAUGUAUGUUUUAAACAAAAAGAAAGCACAGUAGAGCUCUAGAAAACGAAAGGAAAGUCUGGCUUAUAGGAAAAAAGAGGUAGAUUAAAAAAAAAAAAAGACAAAUAGGCAGGCAUGGCACAGAGAAGGCGAUCUCUGUGAGUUCCAGGAUAGCUAGGGUUGUUACAAAGAUAAACACCGGUUCAGAAACAACAAAAACAAAAAACAAAACAAAAAACAUGUACAAAACAAAACUGGGCACUGAAUGCUAAAUACAACCAUUUCAUAUCCCACUGCCUAAGGGCAACAUCAAAUUAAGAAUCAUCUUUUCCUUGUAAAACUGCAAUUGCCUAAAUCAAGAUGCUAGGAAUCUUCAGUCUUCUCACCUACAGCUUAUUUACUCCGUCACCUGCCCCCUUGGUCAUUGAGAAAUAUUUUAGCAGCAUAGUACUACCUGCAAAACUCAGCAAUGUUUCCUUUCUCCUACCCAGAGGCCAUUGACACACACUGGGGACUUGAUUUUAGCCUUGCAGCUCCAGACUGUGAGAGACUAAUUUUCACUUCCAUUGGCAACCUGUGGUGUUGUACUAAUGCAGCACAAAAGAACCAAGAUGGUGGGAAUCCAGCUGGACAUUUAGUGUAGAUCACCUAGAAACAAGAGUCCUGAGGGCUGAGAAGUGUCAGAAUUGAUGGCCAUCUUGUCUGCAUCCCACAUCACCGUAUCCCUGGUACUCAGCACUAUAAUCUCUCAAAAACUAUAUGCUGGACAAAGACUGCCUACAAGACAUUGAGGAAAGUCAGGUUCAAUGACAAAUUAGCCUACAGAGAGUUAAUCACAUAGUUUCUGCACACCAAGACACACAUGGACAAAAUAUUAUGAAAAGGGAACAGCUAGUUGUCUUUCCUUGUUGAGCCCUCAGGGGACAUGAAACCAGGACUUAGACACUCACAGUUUUGUAAACAACCCAGGGAGAAGGACUCUGAUGACAAGAAAGAGGAAACAGGAAGAGGUAAUUAACCCAGCCACCUCUGAGCUUUGGCCUCGUCUUACUUAGACUCAUGUAUAACUUCAGUUUGAAUUUGUUUACAUUCUUCCUAAGUGUUUUCACUUCACGUGUGUGCCUUGCUUACUCAGCCAGCUUGGAAACAUGAAUAUCUUGCAGAAGCUUACCAAGGAAUUGGAUAUAAACAGGACAAAAAGCAAGAAAAUAUCGGAAGAAUACGAGGUGGAAAGGUGGCAUAUGGCUGGGUGGAGACUUGGCCAUGCUGCCAGACAGCAGGCACGUCCUCUAGGUUAAACUCUCACUCCUUAGCUCCAUAGUAAGCCUGUGCUUCUGUCACUAUUAUGUAAAGCUUUCUUCCUUUCUUGUUUGCCUUUUUAUAAAUUGUGAUCCUGUAGCAUAUAUACAAUACUAACACCCCUUCUUUAUCACUAGGCCUUUGUUUUCCACCUGACUCAGAGGAUCAACAGCAAAGCUCAGAAAGAAAACUGGAAAAUUUCCAACCAUUCGGUGUGUCUGGUGUAUGAGGAGGUCAAAAGAAGACAUCAGAUCCCCCAUAUCUGGAGUUACAGAUGGCUGUAAGCCAUCAUGUGGUUGGGGAUGUGGAUUCUGGGAACUGAACCUAGGCCCUCUGCAAGAGCAACAAGUACUCUUAACUCCUGAGCCAUCUCUAUAGCCCACCUCCUACCUUUCAAUAGGAACUGUAGUAAGUAUUUUACACAGGUAACCUUAUUUAAUAUCAAGAUGGUACCCACCCAUGAUGGAAGAACUACAAACAUCUACAUUUGUUGUUUCAGAAACCAAAGCCUAGAAACCUGAAAUGAUUGCACAAUGGGAAUGAUGGUGUCUAUAAUAAGUGACAUAUACAGUGCCCUGCUGACUAUCAAAAUCCUAAGUGCCACAGCUAGGUGUUGUUCUCAACAGGUCUUCUGUCUCACUGUAUUUCAACCACACUCCUCCUAUCUUGUUGUCAACUGAUCAGAAGUUGUAUUUCAUUCCAUUUGAGGAAAUCGUACUUUAUACAGAGAUUAUUCAAACAUUGUUGUCUAGGAGCAGCAAGAGGUAGACAUGGAGAGGAGUUGAGAAAUUCAUGCCUGCUAUGUAUCAGGGCAGUCUCUUGCCUCCUGCAGCAAGGCUUUCCUGAGGUAGGUUUUGUUGUUCUUUUCUAUUACCAGGCUACUCACACCUUGAGUUUAAGACAUUCAGGUUCCGGUGCAGUUUCCAUCUGCUGGUUUUUAUUUUGAUCUGUUCCCAUUAUCAGGAAUAGAAAUCAUUUUACGUUAGAACCGGGUCUUGUAGGGCAAGUAUUAUCAUGUUAAAGCCCAAAACACUCUCAGAGAACUUCCAAGACAGGCCUCAAGGCAGAUUCAUUUCUAGCCAGAAUGGACCUAAAGCUCAAAUUUAGGGCUCCAUCACCAAUGCAGGCCCUUGAAGCCUGUCCAGUCUGAAUGCUACAUGUUCAGGAUCCUCUAUGGCCUACUUCCUUGCCCUAUAAUAAAUAUCCAAGUUCACUUUUAUAGAGUCAUUCACUAAGCCACUCCACUGCCUUCAUCUUUUAUCCCAGCUACUGGCACCAACAUGCAGGUGUGCACACCAGAAGUCCAAUGUCACCCUCCAAGUUUCUUCCUUCUUCAUUCAAGUGCCCAUGUCUACAUCCAUUCUAGGAUCAAGUUAUGUGUGUUUUAUCCUCAGUAUGUAAAAUGUGUAAGUUUCCUUUCAUCUCUACCAGACUACCACUAUGUUUCUUCUAGAUAGUUGGAAAGGGUCUUCUAAUAUAUUUCUAUCAUCUCUUCGUUGUCCACUUUAAAGCCAUUUCCAUACUGAAGCUAGGAUCAUCUUUUUAUAGCAUAAAUACAAACAGACUGCAAAUGCCACCCUAGCCUCUUGUUGAAAAAAUUCCAUUUCUUUUAUGAUUCUUAUGUAAAAAUCGUAGCUUUGAACAUAAACAACAAGGUCUGACCUGAGCUGGUCCUCAACUGCGUCUCUGCCCUUACCUGUGAAUCUGCACAUGCAUAGUCCCACUUCCUAGAUAAUGCAAAGCAUUUCCCAUGGCUGUCCCCACCCCACUUCCGGGUCACUCACAAUCCCCACCUCUUCUAGACUACAUUAACGACUACUCUUUCUCCAGACUUCAGUUUAGGUGUUCCUUUCUCAGGGACCGUGUCCCUGGAUUCUGCUCUGCUCUGGUUCACCUACAAUAGCUCUCAUUAACACUCACCACUGUGGCAUCUUCACUCUUCUCUGUGGCAUUAUGUGAUCUGUCACUACUUCCCUUAUCAGACAGUAUUUUGUUCUGCUAAGUCUUUGUUCAACACCAGAUCUAGAACGUGGUUACUGUCUCCAUGUGUUUGCUAAAUGGGUGAAAGCGACAUGAAAGUGGAGGCAUCCUUUCUUGUGUAGUUAUACUCACCAGGUGCCACAAGGAGGCUGUGAACUGUAGUCUGGAUGCCGUCUGGAUACACAGUAAAGCUGCACUCAUACUUUCCACUGAAGGUGGUAGAGACAUUCCGUAAGUGCAGAGUCCAUUUUAUGACAUUCUCCCGAGUUUCUAAGGAUGCUACCUGGGACUCACAGGUGUGCCCUGGGACACAGUGGAAGCCAUACUGGGGAUGAUAAACAACAAUCACAUCAGUUUUAUCAGUGACCUUGGACCACUGCAUCUGUACCAGGAAGUCUGUCUCCUUGAUUUGGCAGGUCAAGUUGACAUCAGAACCAGGUGGAGCAUAUAUGGCUUCUUCUGCAUUGAAUGUUUCUUCCCAAACUCCUGGAAAGGAAGGAUGAGAGUAAUCAGUUUGUAUAAUUCACCUGGAGUGCUUUUUUAGGUUUUUUUUUUUGUGUGUAGUCUUUAAAUAUCAUUUUUGGUUAGCAUACAAAACCUAAGAGUGACUGUUAAAAGUCUGCUCAGUUCACUGAUAUGAGAGUAUAACUAGAAUUUCUUCCUGGCUAUACUAGGAAAGAAAGCCCCUUAUGAUUUAGGAUGGUGAGAGGAAACUAUGGAUACUUGCAUAUUUCUGUCUCUUUGUCUGCCCAAAGGGUAACUGAAGGUCUCUGACUAACUGUGAAUAAAAUUGAGCAUAUUUAAAGAUUUAUUUUAUUAUUUUAAAAUUAUAUGUAUGAGUAUGUGUCUGUGUGGGAAUAUGAGUGCAGAUGCCCAUAGAUGCCCAUUGAUCCUUCUGGAACUGGAGUUAUAGCUGCUAGAUGCUCAUAUUAGGAACCAAAUUUAGGUCCUCUGUAAGAGCAGAAAGUGCUCUUAAUUGCUGAGCUACCUCUUCAGUCCCAUAAAUUAAGCCUAGUUAAGUGCCCUGACAAACUUACCAUGAAACUGUUAAUACACAUGAAUUUGACCCUUCUGCAUCAGCAUCUGUAAUAACUAGUCUACGUAUAGUAGUUUUUUCACACUUUAAUUAUAAAUUCUUCAUAAUAAAGUGACAUUUCUUUUGAAAUACUAUGUGUUUACUAGAGUCUUUCAUAUAUGUCAUCAUUUUAAUCUGCAUGCAUCACAAGAGUGAUAUUGUUAAGCUACUUUAUCAAAUGGGAAAGCAAAGCACUGAGAAAUGAAGUAGAUCUUUUAGAGACCACCACUUAAGAGAACACGGAUUCUCUUUGGAAUUAGUCACUUCUGCAGUUUUCCUUCAACAUUAACUCCAUAACUCCUUACUGUCUCCUACAUUCACACUGGCGGAGUAGAGUAAGAGCCUUGACAUUCCCUCUGAGGAUGAAAGGACCUUCAUCUCCAUGUAGUUAUGUCUCUCAAGGAGAAAGUAGGAGAUGCCUCAGGUAGAGGUAACCUAGGGCAUCAUCUCUAUCCAGCUCAUGGGAUGCUAGACAUACAAGAAGAUUCUCUCUUCCAUCAGCAACCUGGAUGCAUGGUACAGAUGACUAAAUUUUGUUCAGCACUGAGCCUUUGAUAUGUCUUCAGAAAUGCUGGGCUCCCUUUUAGAAUUUACCAUUACAGAAGUUGUACAUUAUUGUGACAAGUCCCCUGGAGCUCACAAAGGGAAAGGAUAAAAAGAUGACAAGCUGCUGAGAAGAAACAAGACCUCAAAGGCACUGUAUGGGUAGGAAUUAUUAAGCAUUUGUGAAUACACCAAGUUUCGGUGGACAGAGGUCUACACAUCUGAGUCUAACUCCCUGGAAGGCAUCUUUGUAUAAUGUGCCUCUGAGCCUAUCUAGAUCACCAAUUUCAAUGUCUUUGAUUCAGAAACUCUUACAAUCUUCCUAGCCAUACACAUUCUUAAGUUAUUCAGGCUUUCAAUAAUAACCUUGUACUGUGGUGUUCAGAACUAAGCUUUCCUCCUUUGAUUUUGAAAUAGGCCUUUUAGGUUCUGGUCUACGAAUGGCCUUAAAGUCAUAAGGAUCCUCUUUGCUUUCCGAGUCACUCCUUGUAUGUGACUAAGACUUCACAUACAUCCAACCACUAAUGGCAUUUGCACUGGGGAGGAGAAACAACUUGUUAGUUUGAAGAGAAAAGAAAUGCUUGAGACAGGAUUAAAAGCUGAGCAAGACUUUCCAACCAUGGACACGACUGUAGGGUGUUUUAGUUUCCUGAGUUGCCUUUAUGAUGGUCCAGGAGCUUUUCCUCUCCAAGACACAUAAUUUUCCAAUUACACAAGACUCUUUGAAGAGGGAAAAUGGUGAAGAGAGGCCAGAGCAAUGGCACAAACCAUUCACAGAAGUUGUAAACCCUUUUUGGUUUUAGUGUUCUUGAGGAAUCCUGUCUCAACUCUAGCAUCUUUUCUGUUGCUGUCACAUUCAUAACUGACACCCUCAGCAACAGUUUGCCCUUUAGUGCAGCAGUCAUGAGGCAUUUCAAAGGAGCAAAGUUUCCUAAAGCAGCCAUCUGAAAGGACAGGAUUGACCAGAAGUCUUACCCCUGAAAAACUGUAUCUGGAUGAUGGAGUAAACAGCACAGUAUGUCCAUUUUCUCCCCAUUGUCUCCUGAAGAAGAGCUCACACCACCAUUUCUGUAAUAAUCACAGGACUCAAUUGAUGUUUCUAGCUGAGCAAACUCAAGCCACCCUAUUCGUGCUCAAAAACCCCAACACUACCACAGGGCUGGGGGUGUUGAUCGCUUGGCAAGUCCCCAGGAAAUGAAAUGCAGACAGGAAAGUAGUGUGGUUCAGGGCUAAGUAUAACCUUCACAAGAACAAUGAAGAAACUGUUCUCUGAAACCUUGUGUCUCACCUCUAAAAGACUUUUUCAUAUCCCAAGAUUCUCUCCUUUAGUCUCGUUGUCAGUCAAGCUGCUUCUAAAAUCCAAACAAAGGAAAUUGUGCAGUGCAGUCCCCGGGUGCUUUUUAUACAUUUCCUUUCAAGAAUACAAAGUCAUUUAGCAAACAGGAGCUUUUGGCCUCGCAUAAUAGGGUUUCAGCAAAUCUUGAGAUAAGUAUUUUCUUUCCAAAAUUGCCCCAGGGUGAAAGAACAAUGAUUAACAUAUUUGAUUUUAAUAAACUCUGAAGAAUAACAGCAGUGAUGUCAGCUAUCUGACUGAAUUCGUUGUCUAAUUUCUUGUAGGGAAAUCCACAUGUCUGGGGUGGGAAGGGAAAAGUGAGUGUCUUUUCCACCCCUUGUCUUGAUAGGUUGGAGGCCAAAUGGGGAAAUCCCUCAUUGUGAUGACCAGGGAUCUUUUUAAAUGAUGGUAUAAGAGCUUUAUCUGGCAAGUCCAAAAACCAUAAAGAACUACAUAGCACACCGUGGGUAUGUUAAGUCACAUGGUCACGAUGUUUUCUCCAGGGAGGGUUAGGAGCUCAGAUCCUUGAAGGAAGCACAGGAAAUGAAGUAACUGCUCAGGGUAACUUUCUUUGUCAUAGCUGGGAAUUCUGGUAAUUCGGUGAUGGGACGAAACAAAACAAGUCAGGAGAUGUGCUAUAAAGACUCUGAUCUGAAAGUUAGUGUCCCUGUGAGAUGAGGACAGAUUAUAUACUUGGAGAGGAACUUGUCACCUCUUACUCCAUUUGUCAUAAAAAUCCCAAUUUACUGAAUUCUUACAUGGAGUGUUUAGACAUCUCUUAUUGCAUUAGAAUGAAGAAACUUUAAAAAUAGGGUGAGACUGUCCCAUUAAAACAAGACAGUGUCAUUUUCAAGAGCUACAAGUUCACUUUUGAUAGAACCCCAACCUCUGACAUGGGUGGUUUAGUGGAGGUACUUAUCAGAGGCUUUGGGCAAAUCUGCCUCCUCUAGCAAGUUUAGCUUAUUUGCUUGUUUACUUUCGUUUUGUUUUUGACUCUUGGUUCAUGAUUCAAAUACCCAGGAACCUCUGUGGCCUGAAGUCAGGAUAGUACUAAUUUUCCUAGACUCCUAGAGAAGUACCCAAUUUUCAGGUACCCAUGGCAUGCAGAUUUAAAGUAUCUGAUACCUUGAAGUGGCAAGACCCAAGUGGCAGCCCCUCCAUGGCUGUUGUUUUGCAGCAGGUGGCAGCAGCAGCCUGCAGACACAGCUAUCCCAGGUGAUGGGAAUGUCCUCCACUGCUUUUCCAUCCUGGUAAUAUUUUCUAAAGGCCCUUUUUCAGCAGGGGGAUAGGCAUUCUCCGUACUUAAAAAUAACUCUUUUAUGAAGCCAUAUCAAUCUUUCCUAUUAUCCUCUCUGCUCACCAAAUCCCAAACCACACAGCAUUUCUUCUGCCUUGUAUUCCAGCCUGCUGCAUUUGAAAAGGAAACAGAAGCAGUCAGUUUCACAGGGUGAGGAGAAACCUUGAACUUCAGAGGCAAAUGCAAUUAUUUACAAAGGGGAGCUGGAACACACAUGCAUUUCUGCUGGAGAGGCAGGCCAGCACCGUGUUUGGACAAAGUUUUUAAACAGUCUAUCUAAACACACUCAAUUAGAAGAGGGCACUGAGAAGAGGGAAGGGGACAAGAGGUAAACUUAUUUUCAUGGUUGCUACAGUGAUUAACUCAAAUAUAACUGGACUUUUAUUUUUAAUCCACUCACAUAAAUUACAAGAAAGUGAAGUGGUAUACUUUUUGAGCACUUCCCAGUGUGUUUGAAAACGUGACACUCAAGGAUUCCAUUAACUAAAAAAUAUUUAUUGUGACCCUUCAGGGAUCACUAAAGAUACACAGUUCUAGGUCAUUGUAAAUCGAAUGGAAAAAUCAUGUUCUUUGUUCUCUAGAAACUUGCCAUUCUAAUGGGGAAAAGCAUCCAUGUGCAUCAGAAAAUGAAACAAGCAAACAAAGCUAAAGUUCCACCUGGGUAAUACAAAUGACUGCCUGAGUGAACAGGCAGCAUGGGAUUUACAGAAUGAAACAGGGAGAGGCCAAGGGAGGGAAUGGCCAGAAUCAUCUCAAGGAUGGAGUCUGAACUUGACCAGAUGCUACAGAAGUCAUUCUGGAAGAGACUGGAAGGUGAAUUAUUCUGGGCAGCAGAAAUAGGAAGAGCUGAAGCUUGGCAACAUUGAAGUUCAAGGCAGAUGCAGUGUGUGUAUAAGCUAUUCUCCCGGAACACAGCUGAAUGUGUAACAAAACUACAGAGAGAAUGCCACUUUGUUAAAAUUAACUGGAAAAUUCCUGGAAUCCAGUUACAGAGGAGGAGUGAUGAGCAAAGGGAUCAAGACCAGGACCAGACUGGAGAAAUGCACAGAAACAGCUGACCUGA